CAUUCAUGACAAUAGGGUACAAGGUUUCGUCGGAUCUUUAUGAACUGAGGAUGUGAAGUAGAUGGACUUUGCUUUGAUUAGCCGCUUGAACAGUCUGGCAUUUCAGUGCUGCCCUCUAGCAUUUGCAAUAUAUUUUGGAACUCACUACCCUAUAGUCAUUAUCAUCUAUGCAGGAUUUGUACUUGACAGAAGCAUGACAUGCCUCAUUUCCAUCCCGGUGCUUCCUACCAUAUGCCACUUCAACAUCUUCCUUGGUGCAUUGGAGAAAAAUGAUCACCUGCUAAUCUUCAGUCUCCCUUUCUGCAUUGUCAGGAAAGAUGACACCAGAUGAAGCAGAUACAGUUGUGAUUGGUGUCAGUUGCCCAGAAAAUCUACCCACCAUUGGCAGAUCACAAUCCUUAUCGACACAUUUGCCUUCCGUCUACCUCAGUGAUCUCAAGCAUUACGUCACAUCCUUGUCUGCCUUCAUAACAAAGUGAAUGUGACCAUUCACUUCUUUUACAACUGCAGAAUCAUCUCAUCUUGGAUGUGCUUUUUGACUAUGGCCAAGCUGUCAUUCAAUUUACCACAUAAAUGCAGCAUCUAUUCAUCUUCCAGACAUUUCUUUUGAAGGGUAAAGUGAAGGCUUGGUUGCAUGGCGACAGAAGAAGCUCCUCAUUGAUUCAUCUGCAGCUGCAAUCUCUCUAUCUUGUUGAACACUUGGUAUGCAAUUUCGAAUGGUACCGCCCGAUAUGGGCGGUACAUACCGGUCCGACAACAUACCGGUACGCGGACCGCCCGCUACCGGACGGACCAUGCUACUAAUCUACCAGCCAUUACCACUGCAUGUAAAAGUGAAGGCUUGGUUCCAUGGCGACUGAACAAGCCCCUCAUUGAUUCUUGUGCAGCUGCAAUCUCUCUCAACCACUUGAAUAUAUUGAAACGCAUAUCAGCAUAACAACUGAAGAAGAGGAAAGGAAAUGUGUGUGGGGUUUCAUUCUUUUGCUCCCCUGCUUAUAAGCCAACAAGAUCCGCAUCUUUAGGUUGGUCAGAUGGGAAACGACAAGAAUAGUAGUAUUUAUUUUCUUUACUCUCCCACUCUUUCGUGAGUUGCUAGGUGCUGCUAUCCUAUGUGAUGUCAAGGUGGUUCUUGGCUUGCAAUGUAAUUCUUUUACUGACAUCUUCCAAACAGGUCAGCAAUCAUUUCUGUUUCUGUAAUUCUUAAAGAAAUGGAUGCCCACUUUGUUCAUCACCCAACAUGUCAUGUCCCAUCAAUUAGCAGAAAAGAUGCAAGACCAGAGACUAACAACUAUUACAUGGUUCAACGCAGUCAGAAAGACACAAAGAAUCUGAUCAAGACAUAUGUUACGGCUUUAGAAUAUAUUAACUCCUCAACUAAAGUAUUUGUUUAUGAUGCACAGGUGCAGUAUAGCUGCUUGUCUGCCCAACAAUCUACCACUCUCUAUGGUGGUUUGCUGGAUCUGCACAUAUAUGUUUUAGGUGAACUAGGAGUGUGCACAUGUUGAUAAUGGCCCUUGAGUACAUAUGGUCAGCAAUGCACAUCUUGGAGUGAUCUCAAUGGCAAGAUGUUCUGCAGAACAGAAAGAUUCCAAAGUAUUAUAUAGUUGGGGUUCCAUCAAGAAACACAAAGAAGUUGUGUAUAUGGUCAAGCUGUGGCCAACCUGGCCACUUUCCUCUUUUGCAAUGCCUUUGAGAUAAGAGACCAUCUGCUAGCUUUGCCUUGCGGCGUCGGCAUGGACAAGAAUUUGAAGAUGGACUGGAGAAGGGAAAUGGUGAUUGCUCUUGUUUCCCUCAGAAUCUCGGUCACCAUCCAUGAGUCCUUGCCGUUGGUACAACAUGAGACAUACUUGUCAUCCAUCUGCUUCAAUAAUUUGAAGAUACUCUUGAUACCCUUCUCUGCCUUCUUGUCAAAACGAAUGUGAGUAUACAUCUUGCUCUCUGCAACUGUUACUCCUUGUCUUCUGAGGGCUAUUUCAAGCGUUCUGAUCUGGUCCUUUGUUGUCAUCAUGCAGUCUCUCAUGAUGCCAUGCAAGUCCAGCAGCCUGACAGAUCCGUCCAACUCCACUUCCACACUUUCUUUUUCUUGUAUGUUGGAAUAUUUGCUCAUAGGCAAGUGGAGAAGCUCCUCGAUGCACUCGUACAAACCUCCGAGCGCUCUCAAUCCCUCGCAUAUAGUUUGGGCUGAAAAACAGGAUUGAGCCACCAAAGACUUGAGCUUCUGCAUCUCUUCCUCUACUCUGAGCUUGAGAGGGUGAUCUCUAGAUGGCAUGCUGAUGGAUCUGACAUGGUAAGGCUGAUUAGGUGUUGCAGGACAACCAGCCAUAUCCACCAGUAUGUUGUUGGAAGGCCUUUGGAAUGGAUUGCCAAAUGAAGAGUAGAGCAAAAACGAUGGGAAGAUGUGAACAAGCCUGGAACUUCCCCUACUUAUAGUCCCUAUUUCAUAAAGCAUAUGGGAGGCAAGGGGAAUCUAACCAGCCGAGCUCAAUAUGAUGUGCCAAUCUUGCAAUUUGGAUCUUGUAGCCUCAUCUCUGAUCAGAUCAUACUCACAUCUCAAUUUUUAAAUGCCACUGUGUUCCACAUGCUUGUGUCAAGCUUGUGAUGGUACACAUUUUUAUACAUUGGUGUCAUCUGGAUCUUGAACACUUUCUUUAAGCAGGUUGAUUUCAAUA